rfam:Trichobilharzia regenti genome assembly, scaffold: TRE_scaffold0012585
GUACUGAUGAGGAGUCCAAACUAGGACGAAACAGCUGUCCAGGAC